rnacentral:rRNA from 1 species
AACGAACGCUGGCGGCAGGCUUAACACAUGCAAGUCGAGCGCCCCGCAAGGGGAGCGGCAGACGGGUGAGUAACGCGUGGGAACGUACCCUUUGCUACGGAAUAGCUCCGGGAAACUGGAAUUAAUACCGUAUGUGCCCUACGGGGGGAAGAUUUAUCGGCAAAGGAUCGGCCCGCGUUGGAUUAGCUAGUUGGUGGGGUAAUGGCCUACCAAGGCGACGAUCCAUAGCUGGUCGGAGAGGAUGAUCAGCCACAUUGGGACUGAGACACGGCCCAAACUCCUACGGGAGGCAGCAGUGGGGAAUAUUGGACAAUGGGCGCAAGCCUGAUCCAGCCAUGCCGCGUGAGUGAUGAAGGCCUUAGGGUUGUAAAGCUCUUCCACCGGAGAAGAUAAUGACGGUAUCCGGAGAAGAAGCCCCGGCUAACUUCGUGCCAGCCGCCGCCGUAAGAC